rnacentral:rRNA from 1 species
GGAUUGCCCUAGUAACGGCGAGUGAAGCGGCAAUAGCUCAAAUUUGAAAUCUGGCCUUCGGGUCCGAGUUGUAAUUUGUAGAGGAUGCUUUUGGUGCGGUGCCUUCCGAGUUCCCUGGAACGGGACGCCUUAGAGGGUGAGAGCCCCGUACGGUUGGACACCAAGCCUCUGUAAAGCUCCUUCGACGAGUCGAGUAGUUUGGGAAUGCUGCUCUAAAUGGGAGGUAAAUUUCUUCUAAAGCUAAAUAUUGGCCAGAGACCGAUAGCGCACAAGUAGAGUGAUCGAAAGAUGAAAAGCACUUUGAAAAGAGGGUUAAAUAGCACGUGAAAUUGUUGAAAGGGAAGCGUUUGCGACCAGACCUUUUCCUGGCGGAUCAUCCGGUGUUCUCACCGGUGCACUUCGCCAGGUUUAGGCCAGCAUCGGUUUCCGCAGAGGGAUAAAAGCUCUGGGAACGUAGCUCCUCCGGGAGUGUUAUAGCCCUCUGCAUAAUACCUUUGUGGGGACCGAGGACCGCGCUUCGGCAAGGAUGCUGGCGUAAUGGUCGUCAACGACCCGUCUUGAAACACGGACCAAGGAGUCGAACAUUUGUGCGAGUGUUUGGGUGUUAAACCCUCACGCGUAAUGAAAGUGAACGGAGGUGAGAGCCUUUACGGGUGCAUCAUCGACCGAUCCUGAUGUCUUCGGAUGGAUUUGAGUAAGAGCAUAACUGUUCGGACCCGAAAGAUGGUGAACUAUGCGUGGAUAGGGUGAAGCCAGAGGAAACUCUGGUGGAGGCUCGCAGCGGUUCUGACGUGCAAAUCGAUCGUCAAAUCUGCGCAU